rnacentral:rRNA from 1 species
GAUGAACGCUAGCGGGAGGCCUAACACAUGCAAGUCGAACGGGAUUGAGAGCUUGCUCUCAUGAGAGUGGCGCACGGGUGAGUAACGCGUAUGCAACCUGCCUGUAACAGAGGGAUAGCCCAUAGAAAUGUGGAUUAAUACCUCAUAGUCCUGAGAAGUCGCAUGGCUUUUCAGGUAAAACUCCGGUGGUUACAGAUGGGCAUGCGUGACAUUAGCUAGUUGGUAAGGUAACGGCUUACCAAGGCAACGAUGUCUAGGGGUUCUGAGAGGAUGAUCCCCCACACUGGUACUGAGACACGGACCAGACUCCCACGGGAGGCAGCAGUGAGGAAUAUUGGUCAAUGGGCGCAAGCCUGAACCAGCCAUCCCGCGUGCAGGAUGACGGCCCUAUGGGUUGUAAACUGCUUUUAUACAGGAAGAAAAAUCUCUACGUGUAGGGACUUGCCGGUACUGUAUGAAUAAGCAUCGGCUAACUCCGUGCCAGCAGCCGCGGUAA